GACGGAGGGUGCAAGCGUUAUCCGGAUUUACUGGGUUUAAAGGGUGCGUAGGUGGGUCUGUAAGUCAGUGGUGAAAUCUCCGAGCUUAACUCGGAAACUGCCAUUGAUACUAUAGGUCUUGAAUUAUCUGGAGGUAAGCGGAAUAUGUCAUGUAGCGGUGAAAUGCUUAGAUAUGACAUAGAACACCAAUGGCGAAGGCAGCUUACUACGGAUAUAUUGACACUGAGGCACGAAAGCGUGGGGAUCAAACAGG
rnacentral:rRNA from 1 species